CCCUUAGAUGUUCUGGGCCGCACGCGCGCUACACUGAUGCAUUCAACGAGCCUAUCCUUGACCGACAGGUCCGGGUAAUCUUUGAAUCUGCAUCGUGACGGGGAUAGAUUAUUGCAAUUAUUAAUCUUCAACGAGGAAUGCCUAGUAGGCGCAAGUCAUCAGCUUGCGUCGAUUACGUCCCUGCCCUUUGUACACACCGCCCGUCGCUCCUACCGAUUGAGUGGUCCGGUGAAUUAUUCGGACUGCAACGCGUUCAGCUUCUGGAUGCAGUUGCGGAAAGUUUUGUAAACCUUAUCACUUAGAGGAAGGAGAAGUCGUAACA
rnacentral:rRNA from 1 species